rnacentral:rRNA from 1 species
UACGAAGGGGGCUAGCGUUGUUCGGAUUUACUGGGCGUAAAGCGCACGUAGGCGGAUCGUUAAGUGAGGGGUGAAAUCCCAGGGCUCAACCCUGGAACUGCCCUUGAUACUGGCGGUCUCGAGUCCGGGAGAGGUGAGUGGAACUGCGAGUGUAGAGGUGAAAUUCGUAGAUAUUCGCAAGAACACCAGUGGCGAAGGCGGGUCUCUGGGCCGGUAACUGACGCUGAGGUACGAAAGCGUGGGGAGCAAACAGG